GCCUUCGCCGUCUCUUCUGCCACUUGCGCGGGCAGCAACCUCGCCUCUUAUGUUGCAUCCGACGAGGACCUCCAAGUUUCCGAUGCCGAUGUUAGUGAGUUGGGUCUGCUGUAAAUUUCAGUAGAAAAAGAUGGAGGCUUGAGGACUCAUUUUGCAGUCUAUGGCGAAAAUAACCGAUGUGCAUCCUUAUCUUCAUUGGUACGAACGGCGAGACAUACCUCAACACAGCGUCCCUCGUUUCCUGUGUCCAAAACUUUCCCAAAAGCCAAGGUCCCGUUGUGGGAAUACUAAAGGGCUUUGCUGGUUUGGGCGGUGCCAUUUUAAAGGAUAAUUUGUACAUUUUACUUCUAUAUUUUCCUAAAAGCUUACCUCAUUUCAUUUCUUCUCCUACAUAUUUUUUCUUUGGAAGUUGUAGAACUUCACAUUGUGAGCAUUACCCUACUUUUACUGAAUGAUUCUUUUAGCCUAUAGUUAAAAAUCGAGGGGUUGAGGAGUAGCUUACACGGAGGGCUUCGUCAAGGCAAGAUCUUUUUAUUUUAUGUGUGGUAAAUGUAUGUCGCAACUUUCUAAUACGAUCAUCUUUACGGUGUAGUUUUGAUAUAUGGAAACUUAUUUCAUUUGUUA